rnacentral:rRNA from 1 species
UUGGCGGCGGAUCACUUGGCUCGCGCGUCGAUGAAGAGUG